rnacentral:lncRNA from 1 species
AUUCUGAUGGCAAAAAAUAUAAUUUUUUAAUAAUAAUUAAUUUAUUUUAUAAUGAGGUAGUUGAUUUAUUUUAAUUUACUUUCAAUAGAUUAAAAGAGUAAUAGCCCUCACAAUCCAAACUCUACCGCACCUUUAUAAAAGUAAAUUGAAAUUUAAAAAUAAUUUUAUUCCUACUUAAAAAAUUAAUUUAACCAAACAUAUUCUUAAUUUUUAAAAAUUUAUAAAUUACUGUAUUAUAAUAUUUUUGAAUUACAU